CAACGCCGCGUGGAGGAUGAAGACCUUCGGGUCGUAAACUCCUUUCGACCGAGAUGAAUUCCUGGCGGCCUAAUACGCCGGCAGGGUGACAGUAUCGGGAGAACGAAGCCCCGGCUAACUCCGUGCCAGCAGCCGCGGUAAUACAGAGGGGGCGAGCGUUGUUCGGAAUUACUGGGCGUAAAGGGCGCGUAGGCGGCCGACUAAGUCAGACGUGAAAUCCCCUGGCUCAACCAGGGAACUGCGUCUGAUACUGACCGGCUCGAGUUCGGGAGAGGGAUGUGGAAUUCCAGGUGUAGCGGUGAAAUGCGUAGAUAUCUGGAGGAACACCGGUGGCGAAGGCGGCAUCCUGGACCGACACUGACGCUGAGGCGCGAAAGCCAGGGGAGCAAACGGGAUUAGAUACCCCGGUAGUCCUGGCCCUAAACGAUGAAUGCUUGGUGUGGCGGGUAUCGAUCCCUGCCGUGCCGAAGCUAACGCAUUAAGCAUUCCGCCUGGGGAGUACGGUCGCAAGGCUG
rnacentral:rRNA from 1 species